rnacentral:rRNA from 1 species
CCUGGGGGAUUAUCGGCAUGGGGGCAACCCUGUCCAGCCUUCCGCGUGGGUGAAGAAGGCCUUCGGGUUGUAAAGCCCUUUAGGCGGGGAAGAAAAGGCGUACGCCAAUACUGUUUGGUCUUGACGGUACCUGGGGAAUAAGCACCGGCUAACUAUGUGCCAGCAGCCGCGGUAAUACAUAGGGUGCAAGCGUUAAUCGGAAUUACUGGGCGUAAAGCGUGCGCAGGCGGUUACUCAAGUCAGGUGUGAAAUCCCCGGGCUUAACUUGGGAACUGCACUCGAAACUAUCUGGCUGGAGUGUGGUAGAGGGCGGUGGAAUUCCAGGUGUAGCAGUGAAAUGCGUAGAUAUGUGGAGGAACAUCAAUGGCGAAGGCAGCCGCCUGGGCCAACACUGACGCUCAUGCACGAAAGCGUGGGGAGCAAACAGGAUUAGAUACCCUGGUAGUCCACGCUGUAAACGAUGAGAACUAGGAGUUGGGAGUGCCUAAUCUCCAGUGUCCGCAGCUAACGCGCUAAGUUGACCG